UCCCUGGUAGUAUAUCGGCUAGUACACGCGCCUGUCAUCUAGAUGCUCGUGCGCGCGAAAGCGGGGUUCGACUCCCCGCCAGGGAG